CCUGUCCCCUCAGGCGUGCGAUCUCCCCCAGGGAGCCUGUAGGUACAGGAACGGAUGCUCUUACUUACCCCCUCUCUCGCCCUGGUGCAGGCGAGACUCAGAGCAGGCUCCUGAUGAAGAGAUUCGUCCCCCCAAGAGGAAGGAAAUCGAGUCAGGCUGGACUCCCCGCUUGUGAAGGCGAAGCUUGUGGUGGUGGAGGAAAGUGUCCAAGCAGGGACCCCGGAGCCCUCCAUGGAGUCACAGGCCAGGGUUCGCUCUGGCACGGAGCAGAGAGAGGGCUGGGGCCCGAUGGCUCCCCAGGACGAUGAGACAUCCCGGCUGCUCCCUGGCCUGGCUUGCUCCUAGCACCGAGCGGCUGAGGAAGCGGCGUGGGAGAGCGGCUCCUCCAACCAAAAGGAAACGCGAGCCCCACAGCACCCUGCUCAGGCUCCGGCACUGCUAACUCCUGGCUCAUGUUCCCUCCUUCCUCGUGUAGCGCCUCCUGUGGCCAGAACAGGCGUGUGGCCCAGGAAUGCUGGGCGGGGAGGACGGAGCCAGGCCUCUGCAGGGCAGCAUGGGUGUGCACACGAGGCAGCGAGAGACCUCAGCAGGCGUCUGUCUGCCCGGCGCACCGGAGCCGCCCACGCUCCCCAGCAGGGCUGUGUGUGGCACAGAGAGGGGCUUGGCCAGCGCCCAGAUGUGGGACCAUGCGAUGAGGUGGAAGGAUAGACAGAUGCUGGGCUGUGGGGAGACGUCCCUCCCUGCCUGGAACUGGCUCCGUGCUCUCUGCCAGCCCCCGGAGGACAGGGUGCUGUGGGAACACCCCAUCUACUGGGUCUCAAGGACCAAAAUGUCACUGACUUUAAGGCCAGCGCUUCCACAGCCUGUGUGCACCCCAGAGCUGGACCAGCGGCCGCCCCAGUGCGGAGUACAGAGAUCACGUCCCUCCUACUGCUGCUAAGGCCCUGUUCGUACAGCCCAGCAUCUCAUGAACCCUUUAAGCCACAGCACGGCAGUGAGAAUAACGUGGGCAGACAGGAUUAGCUCGGGGGACCUGGGUGUUUGCUCCCCUUCCCGAGAAGUAACAUCCUGAGCCAGACACCUCACCCCAUACACUCCCUGUAUCCCCCCCCCCGUACCAGCAACCAAGGGGAGAGACGAGAGCCCCAUUGCUGGGACACGUAUGACUGCACACAGCCUGGAGAACAGACUGCCAGGGACAUGCUGUGUUGGGGGGAGAGCUGGUGAAGUCCCCUCUGUCCCCUCUGACACCCAGAGCAGGGACUGGAACCCCGGCCUCGCCAGUCCCAGUGUAACCACUAGACCCUCCUUCCAGCCCAGCAAAAUGUCUCCUCUCUAGUCUAAUGGUGCCUCUGCCAGGGUCCCACACAGAGCUGGUCAGUGGGUGUGUGUCCCCCCUCCACACACACGCCCCGUCCCCUGCACACCCCCGCUACCCACAGGCUGGCAAGAUCCUGCCAAGUUCUCACUUGCUAGCUCAAAGUUGGAUGCCAAGCAGAUUAAAAACACCAGCUCCAAUACAACUGUGUUUCCCCUCCUGGAAGCAGAUGCCUGGCAGGCAUCCGCCAGCCCAGCGCAGGCCUGGCUUCCAUCGGAGCUGUGAGUGCCAGCACUUGGCACCCCAGAUGGGCCUCUGCCAGCAGAUGGCUUUGCCGGACCAAUGUCACAUCACUGCCCUUGAAUGCAUCCAUCAGCUUGUCCCCCGCCUGCGAUCGAGCGCUACGCAAAGCCUCCCACCGCCUGGGAGCGCCCCCGGGGGCUGGCGUUCUCCGAGGGGCUGAUGUCUCAGAGCCAAGCUGUGCAAUGAACAGCAGGGAACAGGGAGCUCUGGGUUACUCAGCCGGACACGUUGGCGGAGGCAGCUUGCUUCAGUGCAGCCUAGCAUGAAAACCGGCCCGAGGCCGCCGUGCGGUCCAGGCAAAGCAACGUGACUCAUGAGCCCCAGAGGGGAAGAAGAGCUGGCGCGAUCUCCGUCUGCGGGCUGGCGAGAUGCUCAAGUGGAAAAGAUUGCCCUGGGCGGGCAGUUCUCUGCUCGGGAACUUGGCGGGGGAAGACGCCACUGGAGCAGAGCUCAAAGCCCACACCAGUCCAUGUGCAGCCGCUCAGAUGAGGGGAGAAAACCUGGCGCUAGCCAAGCUCCCGUGGUUUACCUCUUCCCGGCUCGGGCUUUACCAUGCAGCCAUCGUCCUACGAGCCCACGGGGCCAACGGGCUUCUAGGCCAGUUGCAGCCUGGGUUCCGCUGGCCCGGUAUCAGCCGAUGCCUGGCCACCUGUGCCAUGUUCCACAAGCCAGUUCGGCGCCCCGGAUCGUCUCCUCCUCGAGGCUGUAGGUAUGAAAUGCCGCGCGGGGUACAUGGGCGAGUUCUCUGGAUAACUCUGUGCUGCUGAGUCGUUGUGGGUAGGAGAAUUGUCUGGGUUCUGCGUAAAGUGAUCCUGGGAUCUAUGCAAUUCUCUUGUAAAUUACGCCAAGCCCUGAAAGAAAGAGCAGCGUUUCCGGGCGAGCCUCCUGUGGGGAACAGCCUGUGUGAACUGAUAAAAUAGACAGGGGAGCAUCACUAAGCGGCCGGCGAGUGUGAAACCGACGGCGUCCCCAUUUGUCAGGGCUACGCAGCGCACCAGCAUCUCCCGCGGCACCCCCAUUGUGCUCGGUAACCUCCGUGGAAAUGUACCAUUUUCUCCCAAACAGCUUCCGUGGCCUAAUCUCCGUCGCUGGCCUCCAGUUAGUCUGGGAAUUGUCUGCAACGUGGAAAGAUCUGCCGAGGCGGCUGCGUCUCCUGUCGAAGAACCCGCCCUGGAAAGGAGGGGGCGGUGCGUGGGAACUGGGAGAUUAACCAGCUGGGUGGCCAUUCAGACCUGCCACUUUCCAGCGCCGGCCUCCAAAAGGGCUAACGGACAGGACAGCCGAGCGGCAGGACUGUGAGCAGGAUCACGUGGCCCCACAAGACUUGGGCCCCCUCAUCUUGCAGUCUGAAUCUCCUAUGGCACUGAGCCCAUUUCACUCCGGUUACCUGGUCCUUGUGUUUCGCUAGCAUCCACCUGGGCAGCUGUGUCCAUGGCGCCCAUCACCCUGGUAUCUGGGCUCCUUCCCAAACCAAGGAACAGCUCCUCCAGGCCCCCCCUGCAGCUCGAGGGGGGGGCUACUCUGAGCCUUAGACCGCCCUGAUGUCCAGAGCCUGGCCCCAGAGCAUUCAGGGGGCCUGGGGCAAAGCGGGGCAGCGGACAUACUCACUGGGCGGCGCUCCAAGUCUGCGGCGGCAGCGGCAGGUCCUUCAGUCGCUCCGUGUCUUCGGCAGCACUGAAGGACCCUCCGCCGAAGACCCGGACCG